rnacentral:misc_RNA from 1 species
AAAAUCGUAAACCAUUAUUGCGCGUUGUAUGUGUUUGGAGUAUUCUGAGUGAUUGGCUGCUUCAUUUAGGUAUUCAGAAAGUAUCUGUGUGGAACCUGACGUAUCUUAGUUGGGCACCGUUGCCUUAUACCAGCUGAUAGAAAUAUCAGGUAAAAAUGUCACCAUUACAUAACAACUUAGCGCUUGAACAAACAACCAACAGUUUUGUGAGCACACAGAAAUCAACGGAACAAAUUAAAAGAAAUGGUUAUUUUGAUCAAGACUUAGUCUGGAAAAAUAUUAUUUUAUAUCUAAUUUUUCAUUCUUUAGUCCUUUGGGGAUAUUCGAGACUCUUUACUGGUAAACUCAUGUGGACAACAUUUAUAUUUAUGCACAUAUAUGCCUACUUAUCUGUCAUUGGAAUAACAUGUGGAGUACAUCGUCUAUGGUCCCAUAAAGCCUAUAAAGCAAAAUUACCUUUAAGGAUCAUUCUAAUGUUGAUGCAAACAGCUACCCUACAGAAUAAUAUCUACAUUUGGACCAGAGACCACAGGCUACACCACAAAUAUACCGACACUGAUGCUGAUCCCCACAACUCAAACAGAGGAUUCUUCUUCUCCCAUGUUGGAUGGUUAUUAAUGAAGAAGCAUCCGGAAGUUAAAAGUAAAGGGAAGACUAUUGACAUGAGCGAUGUUGCAGCCGAUCCCGUAGUCCAGUUUCAAAAAAAGUAUUAUCUGCCCUUGGCCCUAUCUUUGGGAUUAAUAAUUCCAACAGUAUUUUCGACGUAUAUUUUGGGCGAAUCGCUGACUAACUCCUGUUUAGGUUCGAUUAUGAAAAGUGUAUAUAUCUUGAAUGGGUCUUGGAUGAUCAACAGUGCUGGGCAUAUGUGGGGAUGGAAGCCCUAUGAUAGAACUAUCAACCCAUGCGAAAAUCUAACCAUUGCCAUUAUUACUUGGGGGGAAGGCUGGCACAACUAUCACCAUACUUUUCCAUGGGACUACAAAGCAGCAGAACUUGGUAACUACCGUUGGAACGUUAGUACAGGAUUUUUGGAUCUGAUGGCUUAUUUAGGACAAGCAUACGAUCUCAAAACAGUGUCACCAGAGAUGGUUAGGAAACGAGUUGCCAGAACAGGAGAUGGAUCAUAUAAACAUGGUAAAGUUCCUUUGGAAAAUGGUAAUGCAAAAGUACAACACAACUUCCAUGAAGAUUGUGUAUGGGGUUGGGAUGACAAAGAUAUGAAGGAGGAAGAUAUUAAAAAUGCUACAAUAAUGUUUAAAGGUCACUAGUAAAAAAAUUAGUAUUUUUGUAUAUUAAAAACGUUUUAUAUUCAUAUACAUAUACAGGGUGUUUCAAAAAAGGUAACAUCGUCUCUACGAUACGUAAAAAACUGAAAAAUAAUUGGGGAUUUCUUAGAAAAAAUCAUCUCCAGGGGGUAAAGUGUGGGGUUGUGUUUGGUGUCAUACGAUAGAUUUUUCAAAAUUAUUGAACACGUAUUUUUCAGUUUUUCGGUCCGAUGUUCAUUUCGCGAAACAUUAGACCGUUCCGCUAAUUUUUGGGACACCCUGUAUAUUAAAUUAUAGGCAUAUUAUGAUAUUAAAUAAAAUAAAAUCUAAUUCAAUGGAAUUAGAAUUGAAUCGAACCGAAUAUCAUCGAAUCUAUAAGAAGUAUUCACUUCUGCCGGCACUCCGCAAGUGCUACGCUCUAAUAUUUUUAGAUCAAAUGUCUAAAUUUAAUAUUAGUGCUAAUCAACACUGUGACAUUUGUGAGUCAAAUCUUAAUCCACAGUUUAAUGCUAAAGAAUCAGUUAUAAAAAAAUAGAAUCAGUUAUAUAAUCGAAAAAAACACUUUCGAUUUUGACGGUGUCAAUAGGGCUUUUCAUUCACAGUCAUUUGUUUCGAGCUUCUGUCAUGUGUCGUAUAAUCCGUGUAAAUAAAUGUUAUACACAUAUUAUACAACAUUUGACAGAAGCUCGAAACAAAUGGCAAUCGAUGAAAAGCCCCUUUUCAUCGACUCUCGUUUGUUUCGAGCUUCUGUCAUAUGUUGUAUAAUCUACAGUCGGAAAAAUGAAAGAAUACCCAUGAACGAACAUAUAAAACACGCUGUAUUUUCCUGUCACCGUGUCACAAAGAAAAUUUCCCAGUGCAAGUACAUGUAACAAUAAUUAUUACAUGUAAUUGCGCUGGCCAAUUUUUUGUAUGACACGUUGACAGGAAAAUACAGCGUGUUUUAUAUGUUCGUUCAUGGGUAUUCUUUCAUUUUUCCUACUGUAUGUAUAAUAUUCGUAUAUACAGAACAUAUGACAGGAGCUCGAAACAAAUGAGAGUCGAUGAAAAGCCCUAUAGGACAUUUCAAGACUUUCACGUUUAUGUCAAUUAUGUCAACGCUGGGAGGCAAUUAAUAAGUGUAUUCGCAGAGACAGUCCAUGACAAGUGGAGCAUGCCAUGACUAAAAGUCCCCGACCGGGUCCGCGAACGAACAUAUUUUAUUUGUUUAUAUUUUUUGACAUUUUGUUUCUUAAAUUUUUUACCACUUUAAUAGUUUUUUAGUUGUAUUUUGCGAACAUUUUGUUAUUCAUUUUGUGUAGUUUUUAGUUUUAGAAGUACUUGAACUACUUUAUUUAGUUUUAAGCAGUGAAUAAAUAAAGAUGAGUGAAUAUUUUCGAAAGUUGUUGGCAGACAAUGCAGAUGUUGCUAGUAGGUAGAGUAGUUAGUUAUUUAUUAUUUUUAUAGGACAUUUUAUAGCUUCAUGCCAUAUAUUUAACCAUUGUUUUUGUCCUCAGAUCGUAACUUAUUUAGUUCAUUUGGUUUUAUGCUUAAAAUCUAGCACUGAUCACUGAUUAUAACCGAUAAAACUGAACUUUUAUCACGAUUACUUCGCAUUUCACACUUCAAAACACAACAAAAAUGAAGCAUAUUAUCGAUUCUUCCAGUAAAAAUGUUAAAUUAAUCCUUGUACAGAACAAAAUUGCAAAGAAAAGCAAGUAAAAUGAUUUAAAACACAUUAAGAACUGAUAGAAUAACAUUUAUGUUUGCCUCCCCGCUGUCAGAUUGAUUUAAAAUUGACAGCAUGUUGGGAUGGACUAUAGGGCUUUUCAACGAUUCACAUUUGUUUCGAGUUUCUGUCAUGUGUCGUAUAUUAAUAUUAUACACGGAUUAUACGACAUAUGACAGAGGCUCGAAACAAAUGAGAAUCGUUGAAAAGCCCUAUUUUGCAUCCACUCCCGAGACAAAAUUUUGAAUGCGCGUCGCCAAUCACGGCAAAAGCGUGAACGACCAAUCACGGCAAAUGUGCGACGAUAACGACCAAUCACGGCGAACGUAGGAUGCCGUUAACUGUCAUUCAUCUGCGCAAAGGACUAAAAUUUUGGAUGAAUUUGGUGAUAUUAUAGGGCUUUUCAUUCACAGUCAUUUGUUUCGAGCUUCUGUCAAAUGUCGUAUAAUCCGUGUAUAUUAAUAGGGAGUAGGGAGUUUUUGUGCACACAAAUACGUAAACGUAACGCAUCUUUUUGACAUAUACGCUUGCGCAUUAAUGGUUGAACUCCCGUAUCGCGAUACGUAUUACCUAAGGUUACGGGCUGGUACGUUAGGUUCAUACGCAUCCCUAUCGAGCCGAAAGUCACCGAAUGCACACGAGGAUCUUGCCCGAUUACCUACCAAAUGAACAUUUCAUCAGCGUACUAACCGUAUAUAAACAUUUUAAGGUUAUAUUGGUUAUAGGCCGUUCCAAGAUGCUGUCAAAAUUAAAUCAAUAUGGCUACCGGAAGGCAAACAUUGAAUAUUAUUCUAUCAGGUUCUUAUGGUUUUAGAUCAUUUUAGUUGUUGUACAAAGAUUAAUUUAACAUUUUCUCUGGAAGUAUUAAUUUAGAAAGAUAAUAUGCCUCAUUGGUGUUGUGUUUUGAAGUGUGAAAUGCAAAGUAAUCGUGAUAAAGUUAGCUUUUACCACUUACCAUCAGUGCUACAUUCUAAGCACAAAACUGAACCAAUGUAACUAAAUAAGUUAUAGUUAUCAUCUGAGAGACAACAACAAUGGUAAAAUGCAAUAAAAUAUUAAGAUUUUACUAGCAAAAUGGAAAUUCCCCUGUAAUCAUCUUAUAUCUGGUAAGUUACAACAUUUGAACAUUAACCAUUUUUGAAGAUGUUAACAGUCUAAUCUUGUAGGAAAACCAGCCGACUUAACUGAUAAUAACAAUCCAGAUUGGGUUCCUUCAAUAAAUAUGGGGUAUAUAAACACAAUGAAAUGAGUUCCCCAAAAUCUAAAAUGGGAAUUAAGGUACCAAAGGAGAAUUAAAAGAAAAGGGUACCUACAAGAAAAAAUUGCUUUUUUAUUCCUCUUGAAAUGAUUUAUAAGACACUGGACUGUCUUAUAUUCUACAAAUACUAGAAUCAGCUGAGAGAAGUGGUCUACAAAAACCCAGGAAGGAAACGGAAUAUGUGGCUACGAAAGGCAAAAGAAAGGUUUACAAAGCAAAUGUGACACAUUUUUUUGAAAUAUUUAGGAAUAUCAGUAAAUUGCAUUAAAAAAAUGUAUGAAAAGAUUUUGUUCAAUAAAAAUGUUUAUAUUUA